GAAAUGCGAUAAGUAAUGUGAAUUGCAGAAUUCAGUGAAUCAUCGAAUCUUUGAACGCACAUUGCGCCCGCCAGUAUUCUGGCGGGCAUGCCUGUUCGAGCGUCAUUACAACCCUCAGGCCCCCGGGCCUGGCGUUGGGGAUCGGCGGAAGCCCCCUGCGGGCACAACGCCGUCCCCCAAAUACAGUGGCGGUCCCGCCGCAGCUUCCAUUGCGUAGUAGCUAACACCUCGCAACUGGAGAGCGGCGCGGCCACGCCGUAAAACACCCUACUUCUGAAUGUUGACCUCGAAUCAGGUAGGACUACCCGCUGAACUUAAGC
rnacentral:misc_RNA from 1 species